rnacentral:rRNA from 1 species
GCCGCAAGGUUAAAACUCAAAUGAAUUGACGGGGGCCCGCACAAGCGGUGGAGCAUGUGGUUUAAUUCGAUGCAACGCGAAGAACCUUACCUGGUCUUGACAUCCAUAGAAUUCUGCAGAGAUGUGGGAGUGCCUUCGGGAACUAUGAGACAGGUGCUGCAUGGCUGUCGUCAGCUCGUGUUGUGAAAUGUUGGGUUAAGUCCCGCAACGAGCGCAACCCUUAUUCUUUGUUGCCAGCGAUUUGGUCGGGAACUCAAAGGAGACUGCCGUUGAUAAAGCGGAGGAAGGUGGGGACGACGUCAAGUCAUCAUGGCCCUUACGACCAGGGCUACACACGUGCUACAAUGGCGUAUACAAAGGGAAGCGAAGGUGCGAGCUGGAGCGGAUCUCAUAAAGUACGUCUAAGUUCGGAUUGGAGUCUGCAACUCGACUCCAUGAAGUCGGAAUCGCUAGUAAUCGUAGAUCAGAAUGCUACGGUGAAUACGUUCCCGGGCCUUGUACACACCGCCCGUCACACCAUGGGAGUGGGUUGCACCAGAAGUAGAUAGCUUAACCGCGGGGGGGGCGUUUACCACGGUGUGAUUCAUGACUGGGGUGAAGUCGUAACAAGGUAACCA